GAGGGGGGAGGGUGUCCCUCAGCCCAGAUUGCAAGAGGGUGUAGGCCAGGCCAAGGGACCCCACUGGAGCCGG
rnacentral:pre_miRNA from 1 species